rnacentral:snoRNA from 1 species
AUAAAAAUUACGUUUUAUCAAAACUGAUUGGAGCUGAUACUCUGUUCUAGAGGAUCUUUUCCUUUAUCUAGAUGACUCUAAACGAGGCAUUUGUCUGAUUAACGA